rnacentral:lncRNA from 10 species
GAGUAAAAUGAUCUGUUCUCACCAAUGUGAAUAGGCAUCAUUCAAUCUUUUGAGAGCCUGAACAGCCUUUUGAGAGCCUGAACAAAAAGCCAGGUUAAACGUAAUAUCUCGCUCUGUCUUCUUGAAUCAAGAAGUCUAUCUUCUCCUGCCCUUGAACAUCACAGCUCCUGAAUUUUAGGCAUUUGGACUCCAGAUCUUACACAAUCCUGUCUCCCUCUCUUUCAGCUUGAGCUGAAUUACACCACUGGCCACCGGCUUUCCUGGUUCUCCAGCUUGCAGGUAAAAAGAGAAGCUUGAAAAUUGAUCUCUGGGGAUGCAGAGGCUUCCUGCAGCCUCCUCAGAAGCAGAUGCUGGAGCCAUGCUUGCACAGCCUGCAAAACCGUGAAGACACAGCAACAGUGUCAUUUAUGGAACAGAGAUUUAGAUCACCAGAUACUGAAUCUGCCUAUGCCUUGAUAUUGGACAUCACAGUCUUCAAAACUGUAUAAAUAAAUUUAUGUUAUUUAUAAAAUAAUCAGCCUAAGGUAUUUUGUUAUAGCUGCAGAAACAGACUCAGGCAAUAUUUUUCCUGUUUUAAAUAUUCCUUACAUUGUUUGAAGUUACAUAAAGCCACAUUUGUAUGUUUUUAACUUUUAUUAAAAUCUUUAAGAAAGAUUCUAAGCAUGUUUCUGUUUAAGCUGAUGUUAUUCUCACACACACACACACACACGUGCAAGCACAGACACGAAUCUAUGUUUAGGCGACCAGGUUGUUCUAUCUAGAAAAUUUACUGAAACAGCUGUGUUUGAAGGCCUAUGGAGUUAGAUUUUUUAUUUGUCCAAAAAGGAGCUUGAUGCAAACAUGUAACUACCAUUAUCCUAAAUAACCAAAGAGCAUUGAUGUCAUUUCUCAGAACAAUGGAUGGAAAAAAUUUAAUUAACUCACUUUCAGAAAAGCAUUUCUGAAAUGUCAGUACCUGAGCAUUUAUUUCUUGAAUAGCCUAAAAAAAUCUUUUGCCAUAAUAGUUUUUUAUGAUAGUGACUCCAGUUUUCAUGAUAGCCUAAGAAUUAAUAAUCUAUUAAAUAAAAUGUUUUCAUUUAUUCCAGGAAGUCUAAGAAUAUUUUUGAAUCCCCAAAUGCCCACUAAACACUCCAGUUUUCUGAGGAUAAAGUGUUUUUUUUUAUUGGGUACUAAAAAGCACAUAGAUUUUUGUCUUCUUGUGAAAAGCUUUUGUAAGUGUAUUGAGAAAAUAGAAAUUGCAAAAACAUUAAGAGACUUUUUAUUAUUUGAAGACAUAGCUCAUUUUGCCCAGGUGUGCUAUCACAAUAGAUAUAUCAAGCAUGUGUACUGUACAAGUAAUACAAUUUUAUAGGAAAAGAAAGCAUUGUUUUAAAAUUAUUGGAAUGGAUGGAUCUAACUGUUGCCUUCUAAUACAGCAGACUUUACCAUAUAUAAUAAAGAGGA